rnacentral:tRNA from 1 species
UGUAAAAUAAGCUAAGAGUCAAGCUGUUGGGUUCAUGCCCCAAAAAUGAACACAGGUUCUUUUACAG